GAGGUGGGAAGAUCACAUGAACCCAGGAGGUAAAGGCUGCAGUGAGCUAUGAUUGCACCACCGCACUCCAGCCUGGGCAACGGAGCAAGACCCUGUCUCUAAAACAAGAAACAAAGUGCACCAAUGUGUGGAUACCAGCUUCUCCUGGUGUGUGGACCUGACCAUACUUGGCCCCAUCGAAGUACAGAGGAACCUGGUGCUGGCUGCAGUCAACCCCGAUGUGAUGACCUUUCUACCUGCCCUCUCUGAUGUCUUGGUGCUGGCUGCUGUCUUUGGCCAGGGUCUCACUCUGUUGACCAGGCUGGAGUACAGUGGCAUCAUGAUCUCAGCUCACUGC